CUCUCCUCUCAAGCCUCUCCAUUGCUUGGAUGCUCCCUGCCAUGGUCGAAGACGUUGCCGCCGCCGGUGAGCCACGGUCCGACCGAGCCUUCCGGUGUGCACGUCAAGAUCGCGGGUGAAGCUAAGUCGAACACCGACGCCCCUCUCUCUCUCUCUUCUCAAGCUUCUCAUAAUUCGAGCUAAUAGUUCUUGCGAGCAAGAUACUGAUUCUACUACACCCAAUUCAUCUUCUUCUUCUUCGUCGGAGAAAAACGACGCGAAACAGGGGAGCAAAGGGGCGUCGAAUUCGAGCUCGUCGUCGCAACCGUCGUCGUCUUCUUCUUCUUCGCCGAGGAGAGAGAAAGAGGGUAAGAGUUGGUUUAAAGGUUUUGGGGGGAAAUGGCGGUGGCAGCCAUUGAUUCAAGCUCAAGAAAUUGGGGUUUUGAUUUUGUAAUGCAGUUUUCAUUUUUUUCUUGAAUUUAUGUAACUUUGUGGAUUUGUCUUGUUUUAAAUUGAUAUUACUCUUUAAUUUGUUCAUAAGUGCCUUCAUGGUGAUUGAAUUUUCUAUAGAAUUUGCCAUUGU